rnacentral:lncRNA from 1 species
UGAGUCGGGGUGUUCGAUUUCAAGGUAUGUUAACAUGAAUUCCAUGCCCUUAGUUGUUGAAUCAUUAAAAUUACUUUGAUGGUCGGUGAUACAUGGUAGCUGGAAACCAAUGAUAGAUUGUUGUGUGUUUGGCCUGUUGAUGUAGACUUGGAGUGUGCGCCGGGGAUUUGCUCCUGAAGGUCUUGUUUGGUGUGAGAACUUAUAAGAGAGAAAUGGUUCGUUAUUCAUUCUUUGGUUAUUUGUGUGAGUUCAAAAUUAUAAGCAGCGUAAGGUGUUAUAGCUAUGUUUUAUAGAUGGUGAGUUUAAGUUAUCGAUUUCUUAACUUCUUGUAACAUUUUGUAUAAAUGACCAUUCAAUUCAGAAGCGUUAGGUCUUUUGAGUGAAUAGUUUUUGAUGAAUCGACUGUUUGUUUACCUUAGAUUGUUAAAUUUUAUCAAGAUUUUCUUUAAAAUUUUAUAUUUAGUGCGGAUUUGUAAGAGAGCAUCAUAGGUUUGAAUUAAUAUUUUAUAUAGUAUCAUUAUUCUUGUUUUUUUUUCAGGACUUCUUUUGAUUGAAAUUGUUUGAUGGUAAAAUAUUUUACUUUAUUUCGUUGAGUCAAGUUAAUUUUUUUUAAUCCGGUUGUUAAAAUGGCUUGAUAGGGCUAUGUUCUUUUUUUUUUGACGGAUUAGAUUUUUAAUAUAUUUUCUAUUAAGUCAUCUACUUUUAUUUAUAUUUAUUUUAUGUGUUUCUUGUCAAUUUUUUUAUAAUGCGGUUUUCCAUUUAGACUCUGCAAAUAUGUACUUUUUUAUAUAAA